AAGAGAGCUCCUGAUUACUAUGAUGCAAGGAAGCUUCUUGAACACUGGUUUAGUAUAAUCUUUGGCGGAGAAGAAUUCAUUGUGACAAACUUUAAAAUCAGGGGUAAUUAUCUACAAAGCGGUGCCUAUAAGAG